rnacentral:rRNA from 1 species
GACGAACGCUGGCGGCGUGCCUAAUACAUGCAAGUCGAGCGGAAUUGGGGGAGCUUGCUCCUUCCCGUUUAGCGGCGGACGGGUGAGUAACACGUGGGCAACCUGCCCUGCAGAUCGGGAUAACUCCGGGCAACCGGUGCUAAUACCGAAUAGUUUGGCGCCUCUCCUGAGGCGCUACGGAAAGACGGUUUCGGCUGUCACUGCAGGAUGGGCCCGCGGCGCAUUAGCUAGUUGGUGGGGUAACGGCCCACCAAGGCGACGAUGCGUAGCCGACCUGAGAGGGUGACCGGCCACACUGGGACUGAGACACGGCCCAGACUCCUACGGGAGGCAGCAGUAGGGAAUCUUCCGCAAUGGACGCAAGUCUGACGGAACAACGCCGCGUGAGUGACGAAGGUUUUCGGAUCGUAAAACUCUGUUGUGAGGGAAGAACACGUACCAACUAACUAUUGGUACCUUGACGGUACCUCACCAGAAAGCCACGGCUAACUACGUGCCAGCAGCCGCCGUAA